rnacentral:rRNA from 1 species
CCUACGGCGAGCAGCAGUGGGGAAUAUUGGACAAUGGGCGAAAGCCUGAUCCAGCCAUGCCGCGUGUGUGAAGAAGGCCUUCGGGUUGUAAAGCGCUUUCAGUGGGGAAGAAAGCCUUGGGGCUAAUACCCUCGAGGAAGGACAUCACCCACAGAAGAAGCACCGGCUAACUCCGUGCCAGCAGCCGCGGUAAUACGGAGGGUGCGAGCGUUAAUCGGAAUUACUGGGCGUAAAGCGCGCGUAGGCGGUCUGAUAAGCCGGUUGUGAAAGCCCCGGGCUCAACCUGGGAACGGCAUCCGGAACUGUCAGGCUAGAGUGCAGGAGAGGAAGGUAGAAUUCCCGGUGUAGCGGUGAAAUGCGUAGAGAUCGGGAGGAAUACCAGUGGCGAAGGCGGCCUUCUGGACUGACACUGACGCUGAGGUGCGAAAGCGUGGGUAGCAAACAGGAUUAGAUACCCCGGUAGUC